rnacentral:rRNA from 1 species
AAAAUUUAACUUUAAUAAGAUAGAAUGUAUAGAAAAUAAUAUAUUAUUUAAUAAAAACAUUUUUAAUGUUUGAUAGAGUUUAAGUAUUGGAUAAGGAAAGAAUUAAUUGAGUUAUAGAGAUUUAUGUACUGUGAAGGAGUAUUUUGAAAUAUUAGAAAUAUUAAGUUUAGGAAAAGUAGAUUUGGUUUAUUGUACCUUGUGUAUCAGGGUUGAUUAAAAAUAGUUUAUGAAUUUUAAAUUUUCCCGAUUUGAAGAGAGCUAGUUUAGGUUUGUUAGUUAAUGUGGAAUAAUUAUUAUAUAAGCUAGGCUAGAAAUGAUACGUUAAUCGUUCUUCAAGAUAUCUGGUUUUUUGAGAGAUGAAUUUAAUUCCGUUAUUUAUUUGUUUUAAUUAUAUUUUAUUUUAAUUAACGUGAUUAAAUAAUAAGAGUUCGGGGGAUAAGCUUCGGUCUAAUAAACUAAAAUUUUUUGAAAUAAUUUAAUUGUAUUUAGGUUUAGAAGUAGCCAUAAUUUAAAGGGUGUUAUAACUUAUUUUUUAAUAAUAUAAUUUUGAGUUAGUGUUUAGGUUGAUUAUUAAAAUUUUAUUUUUAAUUAUUAAAUAUAUAGAAAUAAUGAUUGAAUUAGUAUAAUAUAUAAUUGUUUAGCAAGUUUUGUGAAAGAUAGUUUAUAAUAAGGAAUUAGGCAAAUUAGUGCUCGCCUGUUUAACAAAACCAUGGCCUCUUGGAGUAAUUUAAAAUAAUUUGAGGUCUGACCUGCCCACUGAAAAGUUUUAAAGGGCCGCGGUAUUUUGACCGUGCAAAGGUAGCAUAAUCAUUAGUCUUUUAAUUGGAGGCUGGAAUGAAUGGUUGGACGAGGCACUGACUGUCUCAUUAUGAAUGAAAUUAGAAUUUAACUUUUGAGUGAAAAGGCUUAAAUAAGUUUAAAGGACGAGAAGACCCUAUAGAUCUUUAUGUUAAUAAUUAUGUAAUUGUUUUAGUAUAUUAAUUUAUUUCAUAGUUAUUCAUAUUUUAUUGGGGUGAUAGGAAGAUAAGGAAAACUCUUUUAUAGUGUAUACAAUGAUUUUUGAAUUUUUGAUCCAUUAAUGAUGAUUAUAAGACUAAGUUACCUUAGGGAUAACAGCGUAAUCUUUUUUGAGAGUUCUUAUCGACAAAAGGGGUUGCGACCUCGAUGUUGGAUUAAGGUAAAAUUUGGGUGUAGGUGUUCAAAUUUUUAGGUCUGUUCGACCAUUAAAUCCUUACAUGAUCUGAGUUCAGACCGGCGUGAGCCAGGUCGGUUUCUAUCCUUAAAUCAUUAUAAUGUUUUAGUACGAAAGGACCAAACAUGAAAAUUAUAUUUUAGAUUUAGAUAAAUAGUAAAAUUGUUC